AUACGGCCAUAUCACGUUGAAACACCGGUUCCCGUACGACCACCGAAAUUAAGCAACGUCUAGCUUGGUCAAUAACUAGAUGAGUGACCGCUUGUGAACACCAGGCGUUGUAAG